rfam:Oryza glumipatula chromosome 2, whole genome shotgun sequence.
GCGCCCCUGUCCCCGCCCACUCGGCCGCCACGUGGCAACCGAGUGAGGGCCUCGGGGUGACGC